GAUGAACGCUGGCGGCGUGCCUAAUACAUGCAAGUCGAGCGAACAGACGAGGAGCUUGCUCCUCUGACGUUAGCGGCGGACGGGUGAGUAACACGUGGAUAACCUACCUAUAAGACUGGGAUAACUUCGGGAAACCGGAGCUAAUACCGGAUAAUAUAUUGAACCGCAUGGUUCAAUAGUGAAAGACGGUUUUGCUGUCACUUAUAGAUGGAUCCGCGCCGCAUUAGCUAGUUGGUAAGGUAACGGCUUACCAAGGCAACGAUGCGUAGCCGACCUGAGAGGGUGAUCGGCCACACUGGAACUGAGACACGGUCCAGACUCCUACGGGAGGCAGCAGUAGGGAAUCUUCCGCAAUGGGCGAAAGCUUGACGGAGCAACGCGGCGUGAGUGAUGAAGGUCUUCGGAUCGUAAAACUCUGUUAUUAGGGAAGAACAAAUGGGUAAGUAACUAUGCACGUCUUGACGGUACCUAAUCAGAAAGCCACGGCUAACUACGU
rnacentral:rRNA from 1 species